rnacentral:misc_RNA from 1 species
GCAAACUUGGUCAUUUAGAGGAAGUAAAAGUCGUAACAAGGUUUCCGUAGGUGAACCUGCGGAAGGAUCAUUAAAAAAAAAUUUAAUAUCCACAAACCUACCUCUUGUGCAUCUAUUGAAGAAAAGUUAAUCUUUGGGAGAUUGAUGAGAAAAAAAAAAAAAAUUUUUUUUUUUUUUUUCACUCGUCUCCCAAAGGUGUUUUUUUAAUAUAUUGUAUUUUUUUUAAAUGUCUUAAAUGAAAUAAUAAUGAUAAUAAUAAACAACUUUCAACAACGGAUCUCUUGGCUCUCGCAUCGAUGAAGAACGCAGC